rnacentral:rRNA from 1 species
UACGGGGGGGGCAAGCGUUGUUCGGAAUUACUGGGCGUAAAGGGCUCGUAGGUGGCCAACUAAGUCAGACGUGAAAUCCCUCAGCUUAACUGGGGAACUGCGUCCGAUACUGGAUGGCUUGAGUUCGGGAGAGGGAUGCGGAAUUCCAGGUGUAGCGGUGAAAUGCGUAGAUAUCUGGAGGAACACCGGUGGCGAAGGCGGCAUCCUGGACCGAUACUGACGCUGAGGAGCGAAAGCCAGGGGAGCAAACGGG